GUUGGUGAACCAGCGGAGGGAUCAUUAAAGAGUUGCAAAACUCCCACAAACCAUCGCGAACCUACCCCUGAACAGUUGCUUCGGCAGGCCGGCGCCCCCCGGGGCGCCGCCAAAGGCCUGCCGGAGGCACCCAAACCAUUGUUUUUACAGGCCUCUCUGAGUAACGUACUUAAUAAGUCAAAACUUUCAACAACGGAUCUCUUGGUUCUG
rnacentral:misc_RNA from 1 species